rnacentral:rRNA from 1 species
GACGUAGGGCGCGAGCGUUGUCCGGAUUUACUGGGCGUAAAGAGCGCGUAGGCGGAACGUUAAGCGGGGCCGGAAAGCCCCCCGGCUCAACCGGGGAAGGGGCCGCGAACUGGCGUUCUUGAGGGGGAGAGAGGAGAGUGGAAUUCCCGGUGUAGCGGUGAAAUGCGCAGAUAUCGGGAAGAACACCCGUGGCGAAGGCGGCUACUCUGGGACGGUACUGGAUGCUGAGACGCGAAAGCGUGGGGAGCGAACAGG